UGAACAAAGGCAGCACCCUGGAAGUGAGCCAGAGGACAGGUUGGAAGAGGAAGGUUCCGGGCCUGUCCCAAGGACAGAAGUUUCCUCUGCGGGAGGGCAGCUGCCCCAGCAGGCCCCUUACGUAGCUGCUCUGAGUAAACAGGGCCAGCGUCCCGUCUCAGCAGGGACACUCCCACCCUGGCUGCUCCUGGAGGCCUGGAGUUGGACAGAAGUGUACAGAGGCUUCUGGCGACACGGAUCGCCGUCUACCUGAUGACCUUUCUCAUCGUGACGGUGGCCUGGGCGGCGCACACACGGUUGUUCCAAGUUGUUGGGAAAACAGACGACACACUUGCCCUGCUCAACCUGGCCACAUCAUGGCUGUGAUGCCCUCCCUCCCUCCAGGCCUGCAUGAUGACCAUCACCUUCCUGCCUUACACGUUUUCCUUAAUGGUGACCUUCCCUGAUGUGCCUCUGGGUAUCUUCUUGUUCUGUGUGUGUGUGAUCGCCAUCGGGGUCGUGCAGGCACUGAUUGUGGGGUACGCAUUCCACUUCCCGCACCUGCUGAGCCCGCAGAUCCAGCGCUCUGCCCACAGGGGUCUGUACCGACGACACGUCCUGGGCAUCGUCCUCCAAGGCCCAGCCCUGUGCUUUGCAGCGGCCAUCUUCUCUCUCUUCUUUGUCCCCUUG
rnacentral:sRNA from 1 species